GGCCCUUUAGCUCAGUUGGUAGAGCAGAGGACUGAAAAUCCUCGUGUCCCCAGUUCAACUCUGGGAGGGGCCACCA
rnacentral:tRNA from 1 species